UAACUGUUUGAACUGAUUGGAUGAUGUUUGUUUUACAGUACCAGCCAAAGUUCAUGGAAACAUUCAGAACCGGCAGAACUCGGUGCGAGCUAAGAAGGGAGGAUCUGUCACUAUACUCACUGAAGUUAAAAUACAACAAGGUGAUGCGGUGGAGUGGACGUCAGAAGAUAAAACCAUUCUUGUAACUGGAAUGAAUGGAGACAGGAACAAGACUUCAUAUACAGAUGAUGAGAGAUUCAGACGCAGACUGGAUAUGAACCCAGAGACUGGAGAUCUCACCAUCUUAGAUAUCAGUCAAACAGAUAAAGGAGAUUAUACACUACAGCUGACCAAAGCUGAUGGAAAAAUCGCUUACAUAGUAUUUAAUGUUGAUGUUAAUGCAGACGCUCAAGGAAACUUUCAGAUCCAGCUAAAAUCAGGU